rnacentral:rRNA from 1 species
UACGGAGGGUGCAAGCGUUGUCCGGAUUUAUUGGGUUUAAAGGGUACGUAGGCGGGCCUUUAAGUCAGUGGUGAAAGCCCAUAGCUCAACUAUGGAAAUGCCAUUGAUACUGGAGGUCUUGAGUUCAGUUGAGGUAAGCGGAAUUUAUGGUGUAGCGGUGAAAUGCAUAGAUACCAUAAAGAACACCGAUUGCGAAGGCAGCUUACUGGGCUUGAACUGACGCUGAGGCACGAAAGCGUGGGGAGCAAACAGG